UGUGAGGGUACUGGAGAGUAAUUAGCUAAUCUGUGUUAACUAAAUUAAAAACAGUACGCGUGUAAAACAGAUGAGUAUGUGUUUAAAUUAGGUUACCCACGAACGAGAUGGCGCGACUGAAGCGAACUCCAGAGCCAAGAUCACCCUGAUAAUCAGCAGACCUGAUAAACUUGAUUAACGAGAGUAUUCGGAACUGAGUCGAGCGAGUUGAGUGACUCAGUAUGUGAACUCAGUGAACUCAGUAUGUGAUUUGAGCUUUGAAGAGAGAAUGAGUAAGAGGCUGUGUUUGAUUUUUCAAUAGCUUCGCUGUAAAUGAAGGCUGUCACGGGAGGCGAUGGCUGUGAAAACGUGGAGAUUGGAGUUUUGUGUGUGUUAUACGUGGCUGAUGUCUCAAAGGAGAGGAGCACGAGAGAGUUGGCUGGUGUUUCUGACUCUUCAAAAGGAGUGUUUGUGUUACUCAGAAGCUUGUUGACAAACUGCUCGUGAAAAUGACUCAAAGAGCUUUGCUGACAAACUGUUUGUGAAAAUGACUCAAAGAGUUGAUAAAUCAGAAACAAUGAAGCAUGAAGAUUAUUAGCAGAAGCAAUUGAGGUAAGAACCUUGCUCUGAUACCAUGUGAAAAUAUGAGUGCAUAUAUGUAUAUAUAACCAGUGUGUGUCACGAGAGAAGCAGUAGAAACAAUGUAAGAGAGAAACUCUUAUAUUGCUAGCAGGAAGCUUAAGAAAUUACAUGAGAGAAUGAACAUAUUUAUACAGAAAAUAACAUGAAGUAAGUCUAUGCUAAUGAAUGUGGUGAGCUGCUCAACCACAAUAUUGUUCACUGCUCAACUGCAGAGUUUAAGAGCUGGUGUUCUAUUCUAGGAGUUGACAUUUGUGUCAAUGUGAACUAGAGACUUUAACACCAGUGAUCCAUAUGAAUCUUGGCGAGUAAUUUAUAAUGGAACCCGUAAGAUAGAGUACUCGUUUGUGUCAGAACUGUAUGCUUGAACUAAUUUUCGAUGUCAAUGCAUGGGUUGAGGACUGAUCAUUGAAGUUUAGUUUUAAGCAUUGCCGCAACAGCCUUGAAAAAAACCAGGGCUUUAACCUUGGCUGAACGCCUGAACCCCCUAUCCUUCGUGGAGUAGUCGAAGAGAAAAUAAUAUGAACCAUUGUCGAAUCUGUCUUCUAGCUUUAAUCCGAAUGUCUGAAUCAACGAAGUUUCAUCUAUAAAAGCUAUUUAGUAGUGAAAUAUUUUAUCAUUGAUCUUGGUAAGCAUAACCAGUGCAACUGAUGUACAUUGAAACACUGCAACUGCUAGGAUCUAAGCCAACUCAAUUGGCAUGGCUCAUAUUUUCAAAAAGGUGCAACUGAUUGAAAUAGAUUUUGGCCUGUUAAUCAGUAUUUUGAAUUACAAAAUAGUAGAACAGAAGUUAGAAAAUUAUAGAUUUUGUGCUUACCUAUUUUCGAAUAAAGAAUUAAGAAUGACCAGCUAAAUCUGAAAUGUGAAAAUUAAUAUCCUGGUCUUCUAUCAACCAAUGUGCUGGUGUAAGGGAUAUCGGACAGACUGAUUGUAAGAAAUGUUCUACUUGUAUGGUAUACCUUGCUGUUGCUGUCUACCUAACCUGGAAGGAGGAAAUUUCAGGCAAAUGGAACUCCAGUGCUUUGAGUACUAUCGAAUGUUAAAGUGAUGUUGCCAGAAAGAUUAUUCACUUGGGAGAAUUUUAAAAGACUGGUUGCCAAGCAACCGAGCAUGGGUUCUCUUCUGUACUAGAUUCUAAUCGGAUCAUUGUUAGUCUGUUAAUGUGUUGCAGUUUGCAGCAUGUUGUUUGGUUCCUAGGUUUUAGAGGUAGUCCUCUGUUAUUGAUUCAUUGGGGGUAAUGGAGUUUAAUUCAGUAAAAUUUAUUUAUUUAGAAAAAAAAAUUGAUCCAAAUCGUUGUCCGCUUUUUGUGGAGAAAAAGUAUCUACAACGGUGUCAACUAAAAAUGUCGGAUAAAUCGGACCGGUAAAGACAUUAUGUAAAAUUUGUUAAAUCAAUAUCACAUUUUCUUCGAUGGUAGUGGAUAUAUUUUAAAACGACAUGUUAUUAUUAUUUCAAAUUAUUAUAAAUAGAAUAUAUUAUUUUAAUAUGAUAAUAGAUGAUGUGGAAUGUGCUACAUGUCUAUAGAGGUUGGCCGAGGAGAUGGUUGGAGUGAAUAAAAGUUAAUAUAUUAUUUAUAAUUUUUAAUUAUGAUAUGAUUUAUUGAAUUUUAGCUACGGGUUUUGGAGGGAGCCUGAGAUAGCUGCAAAGAUGCUGUUUCAAUAAUUUUUUUGCCGUGCGAUCGAUUAAAGAAAAUAAAAAAAAAAGUAAAAAUACAUGCAUUUCACAAAAUAGAUCACUAAAAGAUGGCAGAGAAAGUUGCUCUUCCUCAGAUUCAAAAUCUUUGUCCUUUAUAUAUGCUAUUACUUAGCUGGAAAUGUUAUGAAAUUGGCAGUCAUGCUGAUCCUUUUAUUGGUUAAGUACAGUGGGAAGAUCCUAUCAAAAGAACAGUUAAUUUCAUCGUCUAAACAUCUAUAUUCUGGGCCAACAGCUGGAUAAGUUUAUUUAAAACAUACAUUCCAAAGUGCAUUUAGCAAGUUACAUUCCAAUGCACAUAAGUUUCUAAUGUAUAUAUACAUCAUCAAUUAGCAUUAGGCAACAAGAACAACGAAGCAAAAUGAAUAUGAGAGGACUGAUAUUAUUCACAAGGCAGCUGCAUGUCAUCUCAAGAUCAGGAACCAGCAUCAUCAAACCAGCUUCUCCAACUCCUGAAAACUUUAAAGUCUACCAUCUUCCUUUACAUGAUUGUAUGAUGCCAAAUAUCUAUAUUCCGGCAAUAUUUUUUUAUGCAGACAUUAGUAAGGCCGCAGAUCAUAAAUCAACAGUUUCAAAUCUACUCAAGAACUCUUUAUCCGAGACACUGACAAAGUAUUACCCGUAUGCUGGAAGGCUAAGGCCUUCCGGAUCUUCUGUUGACUGUAAUGAUGAGGGAGUUCAUUUUGUUGAGGCACGGAUUGGAUGCAAGCUAGCUCAUGUUCUGGAAAAAGAUCCUGCCAAGGAAGACGAACAAGGUCUAGGCCAUCUCUUUCCACCUCUCGCGAUUUGGGAUAAGUUAUCCAAUGAAAAGUGUUCCAGUCUAGUGCUCGUGCAACUGAAUCAUUUUAUCUGUGGAGGGAUAGCUAUUGCAGUUGGCUUUUCACACCGAAUUGGCGAUGCUCUAACUCUAUUAUCAUUUGUGGCUUAUUGGGCAGGUUUGUCACGCCACUCCUUUGAUCACCAGAAACUACUACAUGUUUGCCCCUAUAUCGUGUCUGAUCAUGAGCAGUCACAUGAUAACGAUUCCAAUACAUUUAACGUUUCGUUCCCUGAAAAGCACUGGAUCACCAAGAAUGUAGUCUUUCACAACUCAAACAUAGCAAGACUGAAGGCAGAUGUUGAAAUCAGACACAAAUUGCAGGGCAAAGACGAACCAAACUACACAAGAAAUGAGCUGGUGACCGCACUCCUCUACAGGUGCGUGGUAGCUGCAGCAGCUACAUCAAAUGGCGGGGCGUACAUCAAGUCUGUUCUGUGCCAGACAGUAAACAUAAGGCCUCUGCUCGAUCCGCCACUGCCACAGACAAGUGUUGGAAGUUUCAUUAAUUAUAAUAACAUUGCAACAGGCACGGAGAAUGAAACAGAGUUACAUAAUUUAGUGGAACGAAUAAGAGAAGGAAAGUUGCAGCUUAGACGAAACAAAGGCAUGGAUGAAAUUAUAGCGGCAAGACCAUUUGAGGAGUUUGAAAAAAUGAAUAGAAUAUAUCUGGUGAGCAGCAUCUGUAGUUUUCCAUUGUACGAAAUAGAUUUCGGAUGGGGAAGGCCAGUUAAAGCGACAAUUGUGGACAUGCCGGUGGUUAAUAGCAUUAUUUUGAUGGAUACUCCGAGUGGGGAUGGUAUUGAAGCUAUUGUAGGUUUGGAAGAGAAAGAGAUGGAAAAUUUUCAAGCUCACAGAGACCUGCUUUCCUACAUUUCUUUCUAAAAAUUUCUUCUUCCUCUUCUGCUUAUCAACUGAAAUUGAUAGUGUGUGUUAUUUGUUUGAGUAAUGUUUUAUGUUGAUAAAUGUUUAAUGUUGAUAUUAAGCGCUAAAAUUUAUUGAUUGGCUCUUCUUUUUUAAUAAUGAUGGACCCCUUGCAUAUAUAUAACAGUCAGCCAAAUAUAUAAAAUUUAUUGCUUAGUAUCAUGUCCACACACUCGACAAACACAAUAUUUAAUCCUCCUUUUGUUUUUUUAUUAGUUAAUGCUUUGAUUUUGGUCAAAUACUUUUAGGUGCUUUGAACGGUAGUUAAAAGUAUUAUUUUUGAGUUAUUUUUUUGUGGAUUAAAAUUUUGAUUACAUAUUUUUUUUCAUAAAAAAAAAAUUCAAAAAAUAAUAUUUUUAACCAUACGGUGAAAGACUUAAAAAUGUAUGACCAAAAUCAAAGCGUAAAAUAAUAAAAAAAACAGAUGGAGUAUUAAGAAUGGGCAUACGAGUUUGCACCCCAACAACAAAUGUUACCUGACCAUACUUGUUAAAUUAGCUAUGUACUGAUAUGUCCAACCAUGUUCUGAGACUGAUCGAACCAUAUUCACCUUUUUUGUUUCUGUUGCAGGUUUGGAACUGAGAUGUGUUAAUGCCAUACUCGGUCACCCUGUUAUUUAUCACAAUAAUUUUAAAUUCACCGCCGACUCGGACAUCUUUCACACUAUCGUGAUAAUAACCAAUUUCCGUGUUUAAAAUUUUUAAAUAAUUCAUAGCUAAAAUAACUAAUUUUAGAACUAAACAUGUUUUUGGCAUAUAUAUUUUAUCUACUCAAGUAUUUUUUGUACUUUGAAUUUAGGAAAUAAUGGAUCCUUUAUUAAAAAUAAAAUCAUCAAUAUACUUAAAAUAAUUUUCUGUAAUUUAAACUAUGUAUUGAAUCUACAGAAAAAAGACCCGAUUUUAAAAAAUAGGAACCAUAAUUAUCCAAAAAGUUUUUGGAUCUAAAAUUUUGAAUGUUUAGAAAUUUAUUUUUCAAGAAAAAUCCUAAUGUUCAAUUAUUCUUUUAGAUAAGUCAUGGUGUAACUAGUUGCCAAAAUUUCCCACCACAGAGGUUUAUCCUCAAUAGCUUUGAAAAUUAUAAAUAUUGGGCUUAAAUUUAUUUGUGAUUUUCUAUUUAAUAUAUUUAGUUUGGUGAUUAUUUUGAUUAUUAUUAUUUUAGAAGUAGCAAAAUUUAUCCUUUAUCUUAUUUUAAUUAUUAUUUUAGGCUAGUAUUAACGAUUUCUUCCUAUCUCAAAUUUUUUUGGAUAGUUUUCAAUUUCCAUCCCUUCUUUUCAAAGAUAGAAUUACUGACAUCGUCUUAUCUUAAUUAAUUUAGGAAAGCUGGAUUACUUGACCUGGCCAAAUAGCCUAUAUAUAAUAAACCUUGUUAAUUUGUUAUGUAUCCCAAGUAUCCUCAUUGUGUUAUUACAGCCAAAAAAAUAAUAAUACAAGUAUGAAUACUUCUCUUUUAUCAACUUUUCUUUUCAUCCACUUCCUUGCAUUUGUUCCUGCUAGUAUAAUUUCAAUCAACCAAGAGAGCACCCCAUUUAUGAUCAUGGAGCGCAAUCUUGCCAUUUCAGCAGCACUGAAUGAGGCCGUGCAAGUCCACCAUAUGUUAUCUAGCAUGGACUCAAGCUCUUUGGAAGUUCGAACCCAGUCGGCUUGGGCUGAUUGUUUGGAGCUCUACGAGGAAAGCAUUCAGAAGCUAAAUCGUUCCAUGUUUUUAACUAACACCAUGCAGAAUAAUAUCCAUGUCCAGACUUUGUUAAGUUCAGCACUCACCGACCAGGAAACAUGCAAAGAUGGUUUCAUAGAUUUCAGCUUAGCUGCUACAUAUUCCAAGUUGUUUCCCUUGAAUGAAUCCUCGGAAAACCUUUGCAAAAUUCUUGGCAUGAAUAAAGCUGUAAUGGCUUCCCAAACCUCAGGUUUAGCUAGUGAAGAAAAAUCAGAAGGGUGGCUCUUACGGAAUCGUGGUCUGCCGGAGUGGCUUUCGGAGAGUGAUCGCAGGAUUCUUCAGGAAGCACCACCCCCACCUGAUCUAGUAGUAGCACAGGACGGGUCGGGUAAUUACAGGACCAUUGGUGACGCUGUGGCGACCGCAGCAGCAGCACAGAAAGGGGGUAAGAGAUUUGUUAUAUACGUGAAAAGAGGAGUGUACAAAGAGUACCCGGUGAUCCAGGUUGAGAACUUGACGCUUCUGGGAGAUGGAAUUGAGGCUACCAUUGUUACUGGAAAUAGAAGUGUUGCAGAUGGUGCAACAACCUCUAAUUCAGCAACUUUUGGUGAGUUAUGUGCAUGUAAUAUCUAAUUAAUAUUACCCCUCUGUUCCUCUCGUUCUUUUACGAUUUUUUAUAUUGUUUGACAUGUAUUUUAAAAAUUUAUAUAAAACAUAGUUUUGUCACUUAUUUUUUAGAUUAAUCUUUUCGUAAAAAAAUUUAAAUAUUAAAUCUUUAUUCAGAAGAAAAAAGAAGAUCAAAAUCAUUUAUCAAACUAUAUUUUAUGGAAGCAUUAAAUAUGCAUGUAAUUAUAUAUAUAUAUAUAUAUNAGUGAUCCAUAUGAAUCUUGGCGAGUAAUUUAUAAUGGAACCCGUAAGAUAGAGUACUCGUUUGUGUCAGAACUGUAUGCUUGAACUAAUUUUCGAUGUCAAUGCAUGGGUUGAGGACUGAUCAUUGAAGUUUAGUUUUAAGCAUUGCCGCAACAGCCUUGAAAAAAACCAGGGCUUUAACCUUGGCUGAACGCCUGAACCCCCUAUCCUUCGUGGAGUAGUCGAAGAGAAAAUAAUAUGAACCAUUGUCGAAUCUGUCUUCUAGCUUUAAUCCGAAUGUCUGAAUCAACGAAGUUUCAUCUAUAAAAGCUAUUUAGUAGUGAAAUAUUUUAUCAUUGAUCUUGGUAAGCAUAACCAGUGCAACUGAUGUACAUUGAAACACUGCAACUGCUAGGAUCUAAGCCAACUCAAUUGGCAUGGCUCAUAUUUUCAAAAAGGUGCAACUGAUUGAAAUAGAUUUUGGCCUGUUAAUCAGUAUUUUGAAUUACAAAAUAGUAGAACAGAAGUUAGAAAAUUAUAGAUUUUGUGCUUACCUAUUUUCGAAUAAAGAAUUAAGAAUGACCAGCUAAAUCUGAAAUGUGAAAAUUAAUAUCCUGGUCUUCUAUCAACCAAUGUGCUGGUGUAAGGGAUAUCGGACAGACUGAUUGUAAGAAAUGUUCUACUUGUAUGGUAUACCUUGCUGUUGCUGUCUACCUAACCUGGAAGGAGGAAAUUUCAGGCAAAUGGAACUCCAGUGCUUUGAGUACUAUCGAAUGUUAAAGUGAUGUUGCCAGAAAGAUUAUUCACUUGGGAGAAUUUUAAAAGACUGGUUGCCAAGCAACCGAGCAUGGGUUCUCUUCUGUACUAGAUUCUAAUCGGAUCAUUGUUAGUCUGUUAAUGUGUUGCAGUUUGCAGCAUGUUGUUUGGUUCCUAGGUUUUAGAGGUAGUCCUCUGUUAUUGAUUCAUUGGGGGUAAUGGAGUUUAAUUCAGUAAAAUUUAUUUAUUUAGAAAAAAAAAUUGAUCCAAAUCGUUGUCCGCUUUUUGUGGAGAAAAAGUAUCUACAACGGUGUCAACUAAAAAUGUCGGAUAAAUCGGACCGGUAAAGACAUUAUGUAAAAUUUGUUAAAUCAAUAUCACAUUUUCUUCGAUGGUAGUGGAUAUAUUUUAAA
rnacentral:lncRNA from 1 species